UACGUAGGGGGGCUAGCGUUGUCCGGAAUCAUUGGGCGUAAAGAGCGUGUAGGCGGUCCGGUAAGUCAGCUGUGAAAGUCAAGGGCUCAACCCUUGAAUGCCGGUUGAUACUGUCGGGCUAGAGUCCGGAAGAGGCGAGUGGAAUUCCCGGUGUAGCGGUGAAAUGCGUAGAUAUCGAGAGGAACACCUGCGGCGAAGGCGGGUUGCUGGGCUGACACGUGACGCUGAAGUGCGAAAGCUAGGGGAGCGAACGGG
rnacentral:rRNA from 1 species